rnacentral:rRNA from 1 species
CCUACGGGCGGCAGCAGUGGGGAAUAUUGCACAAUGGGCGAAACCCUGCUCCAGCAACGCCGCGUGAGUGAAGAAGUCUUUCGGUAUGUAAAGCUCUUUCCUCAAGGAAGAAAAUGACGGUACUUGACGCCGACGCCCCGGCUAACUACGUGCCAGCAUCCGCGGUAAUACGUAGGGGGCAACCGUUAUCCGGUUUUACUGGGCGUAAGGGGUGCGUAGUGGGUUUUUAAAGUCUGAGGGAAAGGGCUGGGCGUAACCCGAAGAAAGCCUUUGAAACUGGGAAACUUGAGUGCAGGAGAGGAGAGUGGAAUUCCUAGUGUAGCGGUGAAAUGCGUAGAUAUUAGGAGGAACACCAGUUGCGAAGGCGGCUUUCUGGACUGUAACUGACGCUGAGGCACGAAAGCGUGGGGAGCAAACAGGAUUAGAUACCCUUGUAGUC